rnacentral:rRNA from 1 species
CAGGCCUAACACAUGCAAGUCGAACGGUAACAUUUCUAGCUUGCUAGAAGAUGACGAGUGGCGGACGGGUGAGUAAUGCUUGGGAACUUGCCUUUGCGAGGGGGAUAACAGUUGGAAACGACUGCUAAUACCGCAUAAUGUCUUCGGACCAAACGGGGCUUCGGCUCCGGCGCAAAGAGAGGCCCAAGUGAGAUUAGCUAGUUGGUAAGGUAACGGCUUACCAAGGCGACGAUCUCUAGCUG